rnacentral:rRNA from 1 species
GACGUAGGGCGCGAGCGUUGUCCGGAUUUAUUGGGCGUAAAGAGCUCGUAGGCGGCUUGUCGCGUCGGCUGUGAAAACCCGCGGCUCAACUGUGGGCGGGCAGCUGAUACGGGCAGGCUGGAGUUCGGUAGGGGAGACUGGAAUUCCCGGUGUAGCGGUGAAAUGCGUAGAUAUCGAGAGGAACACCAGUGGCGAAGGCGAGUCUCUGGACGACUCCUGACACUGGGGCACGAAAGCUAGGGGGGCAAACAGG